rnacentral:rRNA from 1 species
CUUCUUCUAGCCUGCCACAUCCACCCAACCUUAUCCUAUUGCUCAAAAAAAAUAGUCCUGUCUGCUUCCCCGUUCUUAUCUCCUUCCCACAUCUGCUCACCCUCGUCCGCUCACCCUCGUCUGCUCUCUACCUGCACUGUACCCGCGGUCGCGUGGAUCCCCCGCAAGCAGAGGAGCUCCCAGCCAGCCAAGUUGUAGAUCCCUUCAUCUGUUCUGAUGCUCACCAAGGGCAACAAGAUCCUCCACCCAGGACAAAUCUAAUUACCAAGCAACUAUGUGGAGCAAGUGCGCAAUGCAUCAAACAAAAUCCAAGACCUUGCUGCCGUCUUCUUUGACCCUGCUACCUCAAUGUGUGUUUCUAAUAUGAAGCAAGCUAUCAUGGAGAUUCACAGUUCAAUUGUCGCACUUCAAAGCUCUACAACUACGACAUCAAAGUUCCUAGGGGAAAAAGGCAUGUACUCAGAUGAUGAAGUGCCUGAACAGAGCUACAAUGGUCACUCAGAUGAAGAUUCAGCCGAUGAUAUUCAUCACCACAUGGAUGAUGACUGUGCCCCAUCCCCAUGAGCGUCAUAUUGAGCCUGCUGAACUGUCUCGUUGACAUGUGAAACUGUAUAUGUAUGGCUUCACCGCUAGGAAGCGGCUGUGUGUUUGUUGUGUUUAGUCUCCUAGGUUGCUUAAAUAAGAUGUGAAGCUGUCUACUCAUAGCUUCGACCUAGAAAUCUUUAUCCUUUCUAAACUUCAAUCUGGACAUGUAUAAGUGUAAAGUCUAUGUCCUCGUGUUAAGACAGUGUUAUUUAUCUGUGCUACGCCUAUGGUUUCAUCCGCUGUGAUUC